rnacentral:rRNA from 1 species
UACGAAGGGAACUAGCGUUGCUCGGAAUCACUGGGCGUAAAGCGGGCGCAGGCGGACUAUCCAGUCAGGGGUGAAAGCCCAAGGCUUAACCUUGGAAUUGCCUUUGAAACUGAUAGUCUGGAGUGUGUGAGGGGGUAGCGGAAUUCCGAAUGUAGAGGUGAAAUUCGUAGAUAUUCGGAGGAACACCGGUGGCGAAGGCGGCUACCUGGCACACAACUGACGCUGAGGCCCGAAAGCGUGGGGAGCGAACAGG